CUCUCUCUCAGCCUGGUCAUCGCUGUCCUGGUGGACAAUUUCCAGUUGACCCUGAUCAAGCGCCAAGAGCUGCAGAAGCAGAAGAGUCUGCUGCAGCCCAAGGAGAGCAGCAUAGAAGAUAUUGUAUCAGGCAAGCCAGCCCAGGAGGGACACAUGAAGCUGGAGGACGAUGAAGCCUUCCUGGCUCAGCUCAUCAAGCACAUGGAUGGCAGCGAGAGCAGGGAGAAGCAGCUGCUCUUCACCUACCUGCAGCUGAUGGCGUCAGUUGAGCACCUCCAGCAGCAGUUCCGCUCCCAGGCCGCCACCACCGACAAGAUUGUCGACAGCUUCUUCGAGACAGCCGAGCAGGACUUUCCCCACCACUGAAAAGGCCGGGCUGUCCACACUGUGGGGAAAGGAUGUGCCCGGAGGCCCAGGCACUGCAGCCAUGAGGCUGGGACAGGCCCCAGAUCCAGCCCUCGCCCAGACACUGCCACGGCUCUGUAUUAAAAGGCUCCUGGCCACCAGGGAUGCAGGGGAAAUGGUGUGUGAAGAGUGACAGUGAGGGGAAGGAUGUCAGGCCACACCAUGUCUUUUCCCUGCUUUGGGCCCCAGACUCCUGGGUUCUCCCCCCAGAUCUGGGGGGAGGAGGGAAACUAGUGCAUUAGAGUAGGGGUGGGAGGCUGGGAGCCAGGACACCUGGGUUCUAUGCCCCGCUCUGAUGGUCUUCCAAUGUACACUGGCUCCUGGCCCUCCCCUGAACACAAGAGACACAGAAGCUCAGCUAAAGGACCCUGCAACCCCUGGCCUUAGCAGCUGAGCCCUGUGGGGAAGCAUUUACAAGGGCCAGCACUGCAGCCACUGCACCAGUGCCCAGGGAUCCCUGCUGAGCUGGUCCUAGGGGCCUUGGGAAUCUCAAGGACAAAGGCCAACUGAUGUCCGUGUCUGGGAGCGAUGCCAGACAGAUUCAGAUGGGGAAUGAGGGGCAGAGGUUUAGCAGUGAGGGGGAUUCUUCAGCAAGGCAGCUCUCCUGGGAUAGGGGAACGCUCCACCCCUUGGGGACUUUACAUCCAGGCUGCACAGCUCUAAAAGCCAUGCUGUGGUCCCACCCCCA